rnacentral:lncRNA from 1 species
UUCUGUGACCUGUCUCUUCUAGAGAUGCCUAUGUCUUUACGACUCUUUCUUCUGUUGGGCUUCUAGGUCACCCUCAGGUUUGACAUGCGGCUUAUUCUUUGCUGAGUUACUAUACCAUGACAACGUCCUACAGACAUUUCUGAAUGGCCUCUGGUACAGCCAGGCCCAGAACCCGUCCUGUCUAAAUGUGUCCUCCUGGACUACACUCCUAUCCAACACAUCUAAGCUGGACCAACCCCAAAGCUUUUGAAAGACUCUGGAGAUAACCAGAUUCAGCUUCUCCUGAGUGACAACCCAGAGGCAGAAGAUGUUAUGAACACAUCGCUCAACACCGUAAAGAAAAUCCUAGAACUCAGCAGCAUCUCCUCGAGCUCUCUACGGAUUAGUUCAUUCCAGAGCCACAAUGAGCAUGAGCAGUAUAGACUUUCACUGAAGAUUUCACAGCAAAGAUAAAAGAAAGAUUUUACAUUAUACAUCCUACAACAAAUAACUUUAAUAAACACAUCCCUUCAACUUCUGAU